GGGGGUGUAGCUCAGUUGGUUAGAGCGUCGGCCUGUCACGCCGAAGGCCGCGAGUUCGAGUCUCGUCACUCUCGCCA
rnacentral:tRNA from 1 species